rnacentral:rRNA from 1 species
GGUGAACGCUGGCGGCGUGCUUAACACAUGCAAGUCGAGCGAAGUUUUACAGAACAUCGUAAAAUUUAGCGGCAAACGGGUGAGUAACACGUAGGUAACCUACCUUAAAAUGGGGAAUAUCUCUGAGAAAUCAGAACUAAUACCGCAUAUGACCACAGUUUGGAAUCAAACAGAGGUAAAAGCAGUAAUGUGUUUUAAGAUGGGCCUGCGGUCUAUCAGCUAGUUGGUGAGAUAAUAGCUUACCAAGGCUAUGACGGAUAUCCGGCCUGAAAGGGUGAACGGACACACUGGAACUGAGACACGGUCCAGACUCCUACGGGAGGCAGCAGUGGGGAAUUUUGGACAAUGGGGGAAACCCUGAUCCAGCGACGUCGCGUGGAGGAUGAAGGCUUUCGAGUUGUAAACUCCUUUUGGAGGGGAAGAAAUAAAUGACGGUACCCUCAGAAAAAGCCACGGCUAACUACGUGCCAGCAGCCGCGGUAAUACGUAGGUGGCAAGCGUUACUCGGAAUUACUAGGCGUAAAGCGUGUGCAGGCUGUUUAUAUAAGUCUUUAGUAAAAUUUUUAGGCUUAACCUAAAAAAGUAUAAAGAUACUAUUAGACUUGAGUGUGGGAGGGGAAAAUGGAACUCCUGGUGUAGCGGUGAAAUGCGUAGAUAUCAGGAAGAACACCGAUGGCGAAGGCAAUUUUCUGGCCCAAUACUGACGCUAAUACACGAAAGCUAGGGGAGCAAACAGGAUUAGAUACCCUGGUAGUCCUAGCUGUAAACGAUGUUCACUAGAUGUAGGAGGUAUCGACCCCUUCUGCGUCGACGCUAACGCAUUAAGUGAACCGCCUGAGGAGUACGGUCGCAAGGCUGAAACUCAAAGAAAUUGACGGGGAUCCGCACAAGCAGCGGAGCAUGCGGAUUAAUUCGAUGCAACGCGAAGAACCUUACCAAGGCUUGACAUAUAGUGGACAGCUUCUAGAGAUAGUUGCCUUCUUCGGACUGCUAUACAGGUGGUGCAUGGUUGUCGUCAGCUCGUGUUGUGAAAUGUUGGGUUAAGUCCCGCAACGAGCGCAACCCUUGUUCUGUGUUACUAACAUUAAGUUGAGGACUCACAGGAGACUGCCGUAGUUAAUACGGAGGAAGGUGGGGAUGACGUCAAAUCAUCAUGCCCCUUACGUCUUGGGCUUCACGCAUGCUACAAUGGCCGGUACAGAGCGCCGCAAUACCGCAAGGUGGAGCUAAUCGCAAAAAGCCGGUCUCAGUUCGGAUUGGGGUCUGCAACUCGACCCCAUGAAGUUGGAGUUGCUAGUAAUCGUAGAUCAGCAACGCUACGGUGAAUACGUUCCCGGAUCUUGUACACACCGCCCGUCAAGUCAUGAAAGUCGGUAACACCCGACGCCGGUGGCCUAACCUUUUGGAGGGAGCCGUCUAAGGUGGGAUUGGCGAUUAGGACU